rnacentral:rRNA from 1 species
CACGCCGUAAACGAUGCACACUAGGUAUCAGAAGUAUCGACCCUUCUUGUACCGAAGCUAACGCGUUAAGUGUGCCGCCUGGGGAGUACGGCCGCAAGGCUAAAACUCAAAGGAAUUGACGGGGACUCGCACAAGCGGUGGAGCAUGUGGUUUAAUUCGACGAUAAGCGAAGAACCUUACCAGGGUUUGACAUCUAAGGAACCCGGCAGAAACGUUGGGGUGCCCGCAAGGGAACCUUAAGACAGGUGC